CUCGUGAACAACGCUGAGGGUGCAGGGCAUUUUCAUUUUCGUUAUUCCCAAACAAAUUACUCUACCACCAACACGAAAGCAAAGCCCUUCUCAAGACACACAGACAAAGAUAGAAAGAAUCUUCCAUUUUUGUCGAUCACGCAAAACAUGAGCAACGACUACGACUACCUCUUCAAGCUUUUGUUAAUCGGAGACUCUUCCGUCGGAAAAUCAUGCCUUCUUCUCCGAUUUGCUGACGAUUCAUAUGUAGAUAGUUACAUUAGCACUAUUGGAGUUGAUUUCAAAAUUAGGACUGUUGAGCUCGAUGGAAAGACAAUCAAGCUACAGAUUUGGGAUACUGCUGGACAGGAGCGAUUCCGGACUAUUACUAGCAGUUAUUACCGAGGGGCACAUGGAAUCAUUAUUGUCUAUGAUGUCACUGAGAUGGAGAGCUUCAACAAUGUUAAGCAAUGGUUGAAUGAGAUUGAUAGAUAUGCAAAUGACACUGUAUGCAAGCUCCUAGUUGGGAACAAAUGUGAUUUAGUUGAGAACAAGGUUGUGGACACACAAACAGCAAAGGGUUUUGAUUUAAACAGUUGCAAAGACCCUCUUUCCCUCGCUUUCCCCAUUAAUCGGAAGGAAGCUGAAAUUUAUACUUGAUUUAAACAGUUGCAAUAAUUUUGAGAAGAUAAAACAUGUUUUGAAAUACAUGAAUAUUUUCUUGAAAAACUAGACGGCAAAAUGAAGGGAUGUUUGUCCAAAUAAAUUGUUGGUAUGUCUUUUUCCACUUUUUCAGACUUGAGGGGAGAAAAAUGUGUAAAGACACAAGGGGAGCCUCAAAGGGCUUCCCACUUGAGUAAACCUUUUUAGGUUUUGCUUCUUAGGCUGCUUGUCUCAUCAUGUGCCUUUCAAGGCUUUUAAGGCGGUGUGUUAUUGAUUGUGAAGUUGUUUUCUUGUGGUAGGCAUCUGAUGAUCUUCAUGAUCAAAUGUUUUGCAAGUGAAAGUAACUGAGAAGUUCUCUGAUGUAUCUUUUUUCUUGGGAUAUAAGAUAUGUUUGCUGACUUAAACACAAUUAGCUGCAGAUUCCCAAAGUGUGAUAUAUAAGCUUUUGCGGAUGAGCUGGGGAUUCCUUUCCUUGAGACUAGUGCCAAAGACUCGAUCAAUGUGGAGCAGGCUUUCUUAACUAUGGCUGGCGAGA